rnacentral:ncRNA from 1 species
UACGGUGCCUCUGCCAGAAAUGGCCAGAGGGUAAAAGGGAAACAGGUGCAAGGCCUGUGCGAACUCGUCACUGUAAGCGGGGAGUCUGCAGCUUUUGUGUAAACGGCCACUGGUCCGGUACGGACCGGGAAGGCAGCUGCAGGCGCUGAUCUGCGAGCCAGGAAACCUGCCGGAUGUU